rnacentral:rRNA from 1 species
AGCAUAUCAAUAAGCGGAGGAAAAGAAACCAACAGGGAUUGCCUCAGUAACGGCGAGUGAAGCGGCAAUAGCUCAAAUUUGAAAUCUGGCUCUUUUAGGGUCCGAGUUGUAAUUUGUAGAGGAUGUUUCGGCUUACGCCCCGGUCUAAGUUCCUUGGAACAGGACGUCACAGAGGGUGAGAAUCCCGUUUGUGGCCGGCGGCUUCUGCCAUGUGAAGCUCCUUCGACGAGUCGAGUUGUUUGGGAAUGCAGCUCUAAAUGGGAGGUAUAUUUCUUCUAAAGCUAAAUACCGGCCAGAGACCGAUAGCGCACAAGUAGAGUGAUCGAAAGAUGAAAAGCACUUUGGAAAGAGAGUUAAAAAGUACGUGAAAUUGUUGAAAGGGAAGCGCUUGCGACCAGACUUGCCCGCGGAUGCUCAACCGGUCCUUCGGCCGGUGCACUCUUCCGCGGUCAGGCCAGCAUCAGUUUAGGCGGUUGGAUAAAGGCCUUGGGAAUGUAUCUCCUCUCGGGGAGUGUUAUAGCCCUUGGUGCAAUACAACCUGUCUGGACUGAGGCCCGCGCUUCGGCUAGGAUGCUGGCGUAAUGGUCGUAAGCGGCCCGUCUUGAAACACGGACCAAGGAGUCUAACAUCUAUGCGAGUGUUUGGGUGUCAAACCCGUGCGCGAAAUGAAAGUGAACGGAGGUGGGAACCUUAGGGUGCACCAUCGACCGAUCCUGAUGUCUUCGGAUGGAUUUGAGUAAGAGCAUAGCUGUUGGGACCCGAAAGAUGGUGAACUAUGCCUGAAUAGGGUGAAGCCAGAGGAAACUCUGGUGGAGGCUCGCAGCGGUUCUGACGUGCAAAUCGAUCGUCAAAUUUGGGUAUAGGGGCGAAAGACUAAUCGAACCAUCUAGUAGCUGG